rnacentral:rRNA from 1 species
AGCGAACGCUGGCGGCAGGCUUAACACAUGCAAGUCGAGCGCCCCGCAAGGGGAGCGGCAGACGGGAGAGUAACACGUGGGAACAUACCUUUUGGUUCGGAACAACUGAGGGAAACUUCAGCUAAUACCGGAUAAGCCCUUACGGGGAAAGAUUUAUCGCCGAAAGAUUGGCCCGCGUCUGAUUAGCUAGUUGGUGAGGUAACGGCUCACCAAGGCGACGAUCAGUAGCUGGUCUGAGAGGAUGAUCAGCCUCACUGGGACUGAGACACGGCCCAGACUCCUACGGGAGGCAGCAGUGGGGAAUAAUGGACAAUGGGGGCAACCCUGAUCCAGCCAUGCCGCGUGAGUGAUGAAGGCCUUAGGGUUGUAAAGCUCUUUUGCCCGGGAAGAUAAUGACGGUACCGGGAGAAUAAGCCCCGGCUAACUUCGUG